UACGUAGGGGGCAAGCGUUGUCCGGAAUCAUUGGGCGUAAAGAGCGUGUAGGCGGCCUGGUAAGUCCGCUGUGAAAGUCCAGGGCUCAACCCUGGAAUGCCGGUGGAAACUGUCAGGCUCGAGUCCGGAAGAGGCGAGUGGAAUUCCUGGUGUAGCGGUGGAAUGCGCAGAUAUCAGGAGGAACACCAAUGGCGAAGGCAGCUCGCUGGGACGGUACUGACGCUGAGGAGCGAAAGCAUGGGGAGCGAACAGG
rnacentral:rRNA from 1 species